rnacentral:rRNA from 1 species
AAAUUGAAGAGUUUGAUCAUGGCUCAGAUUGAACGCUGGCGGCAGGCCUAACACAUGCAAGUCGAACGGUAACAGGAAGCAGCUUGCUGCUUCGCUGACGAGUGGCGGACGGGUGAGUAAUGUCUGGGAAACUGCCUGAUGGAGGGGGAUAACUACUGGAAACGGUGGCUAAUACCGCAUAACGUCGCAAGACCAAAGAGGGGGACCUUCGGGCCUCUUGCCAUCAGAUGUGCCCAGAUGGGAUUAGCUAGUUGGUGAGGUAACGGCUCACCAAGGCGACGAUCCCUAGCUGGUCUGAGAGGAUGACCAGCCACACUGGAACUGAGACACGGUCCAGACUCCUACGGGAGGCAGCAGUGGGGAAUAUUGCACAAUGGGCGCAAGCCUGAUGCAGCCAUGCCGCGUGUAUGAAGAAGGCCUUC